AUUGAACGCUGGCGGAAUGCUUUACACAUGCAAGUCGAACGGCAGCACGGGGCAACCUGGUGGCGAGUGGCGAACGGGUGAGUAAUACAUCGGAACGUGCCCAAUCGUGGGGGAUAACGUAGCGAAAGUUACGCUAAUACCGCAUACGAUCUACGGAUGAAAGCGGGGGAUCGCAAGACCUCGCGCGAAUGGAGCGGCCGAUGUCAGAUUAGGUAGUUGGUGGGGUAAAGGCUCACCAAGCCAACGAUCUGUAGCUGGUCUGAGAGGACGACCAGCCACACUGGAACUGAGACACGGUCCAGACUCCUACGGGAGGCAGCAGUGGGGAAUCUUGCGCAAUGGACGAAAGUCUGACGCAGCGACGCCGCGU
rnacentral:rRNA from 1 species